rnacentral:rRNA from 1 species
AGUGAACGCUGGCGGUAGGCCUAACACAUGCAAGUCGAACGGCAGCACAGUAAGAGCUUGCCCUUACGGGUGGCGAGUGGCGGACGGGUGAGGAAUACAUCGGAAUCUACUUUUUCGUGGGGGAUAACGUAGGGAAACUUACGCUAAUACCGCAUACGACCUACGGGUGAAAGCAGGGGAUCUUCGGACCUUGCGCGAUUGAAUGAGCCGAUGUCGGAUUAGCUAGUUGGCGGGGUAAAGGCCCACCAAGGCGACGAUCCGUAGCUGGUCUGAGAGGAUGAUCAGCCACACUGGAACUGAGACACGGUCCAGACUCCUACGGGAGGCAGCAGUGGGGAAUAUUGGACAAUGGGCGCAAGCCUGAUCCAGCCAUACCGCGUGGGUGAAGAAGGCCUUCGGGUUGUAAAGCCCUUUUGUUGGGAAAGAAAAGCAGCAGGUUAAUACCCCGCUGUUCUGACGGUACCCAAAGAAUAAGCACCGGCCAACUUCGUG